AUCGUAACUCCUACGGGAGGUAGCAGUGGGGAAUAUUGUACAAUGGGGGCAACCCUGAUCCAGCAAUGCCGCGUGAGUGAAGAAGGCCUUCGGGUUGUAAAGCUCUUUUGUCAGGGAAGAAACGGUAGUAGCUAAUAUCUAUUACUAAUGACGGUACCUGAAGAAUAAGCACCGGCUAACUACGUGCCAGCAGCCGCGGUAAUACGUAGGGUGCAAGCGUUAAUCGGAAUUACUGGGCGUAAAGCGUGCGCAGGCGGUUGUGUAAGUCAGAUGUGAAAUCCCCGGGCUCAACCUGGGAAUUGCAUUUGAGACUGCACGGCCAGAGUGUGUCAGAGGGGAGUAGAAUUCCACGUGUAGCAGUGAAAUGCGUAGAUAUGUGGAGGAAUACCGAUGGCGAAGGCAGCCCCCCGGGAUAACACUGACGCUCAUGCACGAAAGCGUGGGGAGCAAACAGGAUUAGAUACCCGGGUAGUCCUAGAGC
rnacentral:rRNA from 1 species